UAAUACGAGGGGUGCAAGCGUUAAUCGGAAUUACUGGGCGUAAAGCGUUCGUAGGCGGUCUAUUAAGCAAGAUGUGAAAGCCCAGGGCUCAACCUUGGAACUGCAUUUUGAACUGGUAGACUAGAGUACUGUAGAGGGUGGUGGAAUUUCCAGUGUAGCGGUGAAAUGCGUAGAGAUUGGAAGGAACAUCAGUGGCGAAGGCGGCCACCUGGACAGAUACUGACGCUGAGGAACGAAAGCGUGGGGAGCGAACAGGAUUAGAUACCCUGGUAGUCCACGCCGUAAACGAUGUCAACUAGCCGUUCGUAGACUUGAUCUGUGAGUGGCGCAGCUAACGCACUAAGUUGACCGCCUGGGGAGUACGGCCGCAAGGUUA
rnacentral:rRNA from 1 species